UACAGAGGUCUCAAGCGUUGUUCGGAUUCAUUGGGCGUAAAGGGUGCGUAGGCGGGUUUUUAAGUCAGGGGUGAAAUCCUGGAGCUCAACUCCAGAACUGCCUUUGAUACUGAGGAUCUUGAGUCCGGGAGAGGUGAGUGGAACUGCGAGUGUAGAGGUGAAAUUCGUAGAUAUUCGCAAGAACACCAGUGGCGAAGGCGGCUCACUGGCCCGGUACUGACGCUGAGGCACGAAAGCGUGGGGAGCAAACAGG
rnacentral:rRNA from 1 species